UACGGAGGGAGCUAGCGUUGUUCGGAAUUACUGGGCGUAAAGCGCACGUAGGCGGCUACACAAGUCAGAGGUGAAAGCCCGGGGCUCAACCCCGGAACUGCCUUUGAAACUAGGUGGCUAGAAUCUUGGAGAGGUCAGUGGAAUUCCGAGUGUAGAGGUGAAAUUCGUAGAUAUUCGGAAGAACACCAGUGGCGAAGGCGACUGACUGGACAAGUAUUGACGCUGAGGUGCGAAAGCGUGGGGAGCAAACAGG
rnacentral:rRNA from 2 species